UGUUAGUGGAACGGUCUGGAAAGUCCGACGGUACAGGGUGAUAGUCCCGUACACCAAAAUGCACAGGCUGUGAACUCGAAGAGUAGGGCGGGACACGUGGUAUCCUGUCUGAAUAUGGGGGGACCAUCCUCCAAGGCUAAAUACUCCUGACUGACCGAUAGUGAACCAGUACCGUGAGGGAAAGGCGAAAAGAACCCCGGCGAGGGGAGUGAAAAAGAACCUGAAACCGUGUACGUACAAGCAGUGGGAGCACCUUCGGGUGUGACUGCGUACCUUUUGUAUAAUGGGUCAGCGACUUAUAUUCUGUAGCAAGGUUAACCGUAUAGGGGAGCCGCAGGGAAACCGAGUCUUAACUGGGCGUUAAGUUGCAGGGUAUAGACCCGAAACCCGGUGAUCUAGCCAUGGGCAGGUUGAAGGUUGGGUAACACUAACUGGAGGACCGAACCGACUAAUGUUGAAAAAUUAGCGGAUGACUUGUGGCUGGGGGUGAAAGGCCAAUCAAACCGGGAGAUAGCUGGUUCUCCCCGAAAGCU
rnacentral:rRNA from 1 species